rnacentral:lncRNA from 1 species
CCGCUGUGACAUGAAAGCCCCGAGAUGGAUCUCAUGGAGCCCGAAGAACCCAGGGAGGAGGUACUACAACUGCGGCAAAGCACUGGUAUUUUUUCUUGCGCUUGUUAUGCUAUUAGCCUCGAGUGUGUAGGAGCAAGUAUGCGCUGAAUGAAUGGACUGAAAAAUCUUUGUCCCAGUUUUGGGGUUGUAGUACUGAAAAAUUAGUAUGCAGGGGCAAGCAGCCUCGAGUGUGUAGGAGCAAGUAAUUUUUUGGAAAUUAGUAUGCACUGAAAAAUUAGUAGUAUUUCCUCCCAGUUUUGGGGCUGGUAUUCUGAAUUAUAAAAUGAUGAUGUAUAUCUGAAUUCUCUGCGUGUGCACAUGUUAAUCUGUUGCUUCUGAUCUUGUGAACCCAGGGAGUCGACUGCAGAUAUUUUAUGAGCAUGUUGCUUGGUGAUUUGCGCGAUGUUGUGUAUCGACUGAAGGAUCAAUUGAGGAAUGAAAAUGACUUGCUCAACGCCAGCUUGUCGAAGAACAAGAUGUUGGAUGCGUAUGUGUGUGAUUUGGAAGUCAAGCAUCAUGGAGAAGUUGUUGUCCUGAAGAAGAAGAUUCGGAAACUGCGGUUCUGCCUUGUGGUUGCUGUUCUGUUUUGCCAUUUCCUUCUUUUGGAAAUGAUUUACAUCAUAAAAAAAUAGUUUGUGAAUGACUCAAUUAUGUAUGCUAUUAAGCAAGAUUCAGAAUGUAUGCUGGAGAAAUUGAUGUCCUGAAUGUAUGUUGUACUAUGAAAACAUGCAGAAUUUGUACAGUGUAAUGUUAUGAAAAAUUAAGAAUUUGACCUGAAUGUAUGUUGUGUUAUGAAAACAAUCAGGAUCUAUGUAUGUGACAAUUCUGAUAUAUAGUUGGUGUUCAAUCCAGAACAAAAUAGUAUGUGAAAAUCCUGAUAUAUAGUUGGUUGGCAGUACAGAUAUUACAUGACUGCAACUAGAGGCCCUACUCCUGAAACAAAAAAGACUCCUUAAACAUAUAUAUUACAUGACAUGACUCCUGAUACAAAAAAGACUUGUUCAACAUCAAACUGGAGGCCCUGCUCUGCCUUUUUUAGCCUCCUUGUAUGCAGCUAGAUUGAAGACACAAUGUUGUGGCAAGUUUGUAACUUGUUUAGGUGGAACAAAUGGAG